AUGCCUUGGGCAGCAGCAAUACUAAAAUUGGAACGAUACAAGAAAGAUUAGCAUGUCCCUGCGCAAGAUGACACGCAAAGUCGUGAAAGCGUUCCAUAUUUU